rnacentral:rRNA from 1 species
UCGGGAAUUUUGGGCAAUGGGCGAAAGCCUGACCCAGCAACGCCGCGUGAGGGAUGAAGUAUUUCGGUAUGUAAACCUCGAAAGAAUGGGAAGAAUAAAUGACGGUACCAUUUAUAAGCUCCGGCUAACUACGUGCCAGCAGCCGCGGUAAUACGUAGGGAGCAAGCGUUGUUCGGAUUUACUGGGCGUAAAGCGCGUGCAGGCGGUUUGGUAAGUUGGAUGUGAAAGCUCCCGGCUCAACUGGGAGAGGUCGUUCAAAACUACCAGACUUGAGGGCGGUAGAGGGAAGUGGAAUUCCGUGUGUAGUGGUGAAAUGCGUAGAUAUACGGAGGAACACCAGUGGCGAAAGCGGCUUCCUGGACCGAUCCUGUCGCUCAGACGCGAAAGCUAGGGGAGCAAACG